rnacentral:tRNA from 1 species
GGAGGAGUGGCUGAGCGGUUGAAGGCACCCGACUUGAAAUCGGGCAGCGGGGCAACCCGCUCGUGAGUUCGAAUCUCACCUCCUCCGCCA